UACAAAACCAAAAUUCAAUCAAUUCUUCGAUUACAUUAUCGUCUAAACCUAGACUUGUGAGAUUUACCUCCUUCUCCUCCAAAUCCAAUCGUAACCUUAGACCCUCAUUCAUCAAUGGAGGCGAAGAACGAGCAAGUUGCAGAGUUUUGGUGUCUGAAGUCUAAUCGAGGUAGCAAUCCAGUCGUCGAAGCGCAUGGCGGUUCCGGUCAAUCCAGUCGUCGAAGAAGAAGAGCACGAAGGUCCCACACAUCAUCCUACUGCACCGUCACACGAGUCGCCGUGACGCGAAACGAAGACGCUGAGAUCCAAAUCCACACUUCCCCAUGAAGUUCAACGUUGCAAAUCCCACCAGUGGAUUCUAGAAGAAGCUGGAAAUCUAUGAUGACUCGUGCUUUUUGGGACAAGAGGAUCUCUCAAGAGGUUAAUGGUGAUGCUUUGGGAGAGGAAUUUAAAGGCUAUGCUUUCCAAAUUACUGGAGGGUGUGACAAGCAAGGUUUUCCAAUGAAGCAAGGAGUGUUAAAUCCCGGCCGUGUCCGCCUCUUGCUCCACCGAGGAACUCCUUGUUUUCGAGGACACGGAAGGCGUCUGUUGCAUCAUCCUUAUUAGGAACUGUUAGCAGUGAAGAUGCAGUUAACAUGGCUAGGACAUUGGCCGUAAAAGAAAGACUCAUGGUAUGAAGGUGAAUGGGUUCGAAACGACCCCGAGGGUCAUGGUGUUGUUGAAGUUGAAAUACCAGUUAUACUGUUCCUGGAUCCAAGUAUGCAUCUCUGAAGUCUUGCAAAUGGACGGUACGAAAUCCCCUAUUAUGAGAGGAAAGCAUGGAUUGAGGAAUUUGGAGAAAAGCCGUUGGCGUUCAAAGCCUAUUUUAUUCUUGGUGCUGACAUGGGUUGUUGAAAAGGUUUGAGAAUUCCAACAGACAAGUCACAUUCUCAAAGAAGGUUAACAAUGUUUUGUGAACUAUGUAGAAAAAGAUGCAGCUAUCUAGCAAGAAGAGGAUAAGGACAUAGAAAUGUUGCCAAAACAAAAGCCAAAGAAGAAGAAGAAGAAAACUUAUAUAUGAAGAAAGUGUUAUGACUUAGUUAAAAUAUAAUUUUUAUGUGUAUGAUUUUAUAGUACUUGAAAUAUUAUGACUGCACAUGAUUUUGUAUACUUUU